rnacentral:tRNA from 1 species
GGUUGGUUGCCCGAGUGGUUAAGGGAGUCCUCUGCAAAAGGAAUGCUCACAGGUUCGAAUCCAGUACCAACCU